rnacentral:snoRNA from 1 species
AGCCUGUGAUGGUGUAAGAGUAGUGGACAGAAGAAAUUUCUGAAAAAUUCUGUGCUGAGGCU